rnacentral:rRNA from 1 species
UACAGAGGUCCCAAGCGUUGUUCGGAAUUACUGGGCGUAAAGGGCGCGUAGGCGGCCUGCUAAGUCGAACGUGAAAUCCCUGGGCUCAACCCAGGAACUGCGUCCGAUACUGGUUGGCUUGAAUCCGGGAGAGGGACGUGGAAUUCCAGGUGUAGCGGUGAAAUGCGUAGAUAUCUGGAGGAACACCGGUGGCGAAGGCGACGUCCUGGACCGGCAUUGACGCUGAGGCGCGAAAGCCAGGGGAGCAAACGGG